rnacentral:lncRNA from 1 species
GGGGUGAUUACUGGUGAUACUGAUGAUUUAAAUUCAAUAUGAAAAAAUUGUGUUGAUGGAUACAAAGGACAAAAACUUUGUUACAAAAUACAGAGGAUAAUAAUGAUUAUGCUAUUUUUUCUUUCUUUUCAAAAAACGAUUAUGCUAUUUUUUUCUUACGUGUGAAUAUGCUUUAGUGUGGAACAGUAGUGGAUGAUUAAUGUAAUGUUUUGAGGUGGAAGACUUGGCAGGUUGGUUUGUAUGAUCCCUUUGGAAACAGCUUGUUCAAACAUCUUGUUUGGUGCUUCGUUUUUUUUUCUAAGCUUGUCUGGACGAAGAACCAGUCAUUUAAUCAUGUGUUCAGUGCAAACGGCUAGCUACAUAAACUAUUAUUCUAAUGCUACUUAUAAAAUAACUGAGAACAGAGUGUAGUAAACCUUAGCCCUUUGUUGACCAGGGAGACCUAGAAACAAUCCAAGGCCAAAAGUUAGGAACCAAAAACUCGAAUAAAUUUUUUUAUUACUCUCAAAGUUUUAAGGUAGAUUACCUGCAAAAAAGAACCAGGCCAUCUGAAGCAACUCUAGCAAGUUUGGCAUGAUACUGUUCAGUUACUUGGAACAGAUAA